UCCCUCCUGGCUCAGACGGUAAAGAAUCUGCCUGCAAUGCAGAAGACCUAGGUUCGACCCCUGGGUUGGGAU
rnacentral:tRNA from 1 species